rnacentral:rRNA from 1 species
AACAGGAUUAGAUACCCUGGUAGUCCACGCUGUAAACGAUGUCGACUUGGAGGUUGUGCCCUUGAGGCGUGGCUUCCGGAGCUAACGCGUUAAGUCGACCGCCUGGGGAGUACGGCCGCAAGGUUAAAACUCAAAUGAAUUGACGGGGGCCCGCACAAGCGGUGGAGCAUGUGGUUUAAUUCGAUGCAACGCGAAGAACCUUACCUACUCUUGACAUCCAGAGAAUUUGCUAGAGAUAGCUUAGUGCCUUCGGGAACUCUGAGACAGGUGCUGCAUGGCUGUCGUCAGCUCGUGUUGUGAAAUGUUGGGUUAAGUCCCGCAACGAGCGCAACCCUUAUCCUUUGUUGCCAGCACGUAAUGGUGGGAACUCAAAGGAGACUGCCGGUGAUAAACCGGAGGAAGGUGGGGAUGACGUCAAGUCAUCAUGGCCCUUACGAGUAGGGCUACACACGUGCUACAAUGGCAUAUACAAAGAGAAGCGAACUCGCGAGAGCAAGCGGACCUCAUAAAGUAUGUCGUAGUCCGGAUUGGAGUCUGCAACUCGACUCCAUGAAGUCGGAAUCGCUAGUAAUCGUAGAUCAGAAUGCUACGGUGAAUACGUUCCCGGGCCUUGUACACACCGCCCGUCACACCAUGGGAGUGGGCUGCAAAAGAAGUAGGUAGCUUAACCUUCGGGAGGGCGCUUACCACUUUGUGAUUCAUGACUGGGGUGAAGUCGUAACAAGGUAACC